rnacentral:lncRNA from 1 species
CUAGCUUCCGAGGGACUUCUCUGCGAGCACCGCAGGCGUGUGCAUUUCUUCGAAUCUGAGAAUUCCAGCGAACUCGGGCUCUACCAGAGUUUAAGUCGGCCCCUGGGGCGUCUGUUUGUUUAUUGGCUCUUAAGGGAAAAAAGUUUGAAGAUCUUUAACCAGCCUCAGACCUGGCGCGGGCGGAAAUCCCGGAAUCUCCCCAAGCAAAAGUGAUCUAACUUCAAGUCGUUAUAUAAGUGGGGGGCUCCUUCUUCCCCUCCCUACGCCGAGCCUUCUCAUUAUCAUUCCGGGAGUAAAAUGUGUCUCGCUCAA